AGAUAAUCAUAAUGAAAAAGGAAACUGGUCCACUCUCUACCCCAUAAAAGGCACACAAUAUCCAUCACGUUUGUGCAACUUAAUUGAGGGUUAAGUGAGAGAAACCGUUUCCAGUGCCUUCAUUCUUCUCCAAAGAUUGUUCUCAUGGAUUCAAACUCAGAACCUGUGUCGCUACACUCGCUAGCUUCGUCUGUUUCGACGUUUGAUGGAACAAAUUUUUCAAAUUGGGAUUCCUCACAAUCCAGAUCUUAAGUCAAAAUGAAAACUUCAUUGUCUUGGGGAAUGGAGUCUAAGUUCCAGUUUCUGCCAUUGGAACCUAUCGUUUAUUUUUAGAUACCAAUCAUCAUUUAUAUUUAUUUCAGACACUUUAUGUUCCUUCUAUUUCUAUAAAUUUAAUUUCAAUUUCUAAACUUGAUGUUGAGGGACAUUUCUUUAAGCUUGGGAAUAAAAGAGUCAGUUUAUUUAA